UACGUAGGUGGCAAGCGUUAUCCGGAUUUAUUGGGCGUAAAGGGAACGCAGGCGGUCUUUUAAGUCUGAUGUGAAAGCCUUCGGCUUAACCGGAGUAGUGCAUUGGAAACUGGGAGACCUGAGUGCAGAAGAGGAGAGUGGAACUCCAUGUGUAGCGGUGGAAUGCGUAGAUAUAUGGAAGAACAUCAGUGGCGAAGGCGGCUGUCUGGUCUGCAACUGACGCUGAGGCUCGAAGGCCAGGGGAGCGAAAG
rnacentral:rRNA from 1 species